rnacentral:rRNA from 1 species
CAUGGCCUUUUGUUUUAUUUAUAUAAGGUCUAACCUGCCCAAUGAUUUAAUAUUUAAUGGCCGCGGUACUUUGACCGUGCAAAGGUAGCAUAAUCAUUAGUUUUUUAAUUGAAAGCUGGAAUGAAAGGUUGAAUGAGAAAAUAACUGUCUUUAUUAUAUUUUAUUAGAAUUUUAUCUUUAAGUUAAAAAGCUUAAAUAAUAUUUAUAGACGAGAAGACCCUUUAGAGUUUUAUAAAAAUUUGUUUUUAAUCUUUUAGUAUUAAUAAUUCUAACUAUAAAUUUUUAUUUGAUUGGGGUGAUUGAAAAAUUUAAUGAACUUUUUUUUUUAUUUUACAUUAAUAUAUGAGUAUUUGAUCCAUAAUUUAUGAUUAUAAGAUAAAAUUACCUAAGGGAUAACAGCGUUAUUUUUUUUGAGAGUUCUAAUCGAAAAAAAAGAUUGCGACCUCGAUGUUGGAUUAAAAUUAAAUUAUGGUGUAGGGGCUAUAAUCUUA